AACGAACGCUGGCGGCGUGCUUAACACAUGCAAGUCGAACGAGAACGGGUUAUAGCUUGCUAUAAUUGUCAGCUAAGUGGCGCACGGGUGAGUAAUGUAUAGAUAACCUGCCCUCUAGAAAGGAAUAACAGUUGGAAACGACUGCUAAUGCCCUAUAUGCCUUUAAUACAUAAGUAUGCAAGGGAAACGCUUUAGUGCUAGAGGAUGGGUCUGUAUGGUAUCAGCUUGUUGGUGAGGUAAUGGCUCACCAAGGCUAUGACGCCUAACUGGUUUGAGAGGAUGAUCAGUCACACUGGAACUGAGACACGGUCCAGACUCCUACGGGAGGCAGCAGUGGGGAAUAUUGCACAAUGGACGAGAGUCUGAUGCAGCAACGCCGCGUGGAGGAUGACACAUUUCGGUGCGUAAACUCCUUUUAUAUAGGAAGAUAAUGACGGUACUAUAUGAAUAAGCACCGGCUAACUCCGUGCCAGCCGCCGCCGUAA
rnacentral:rRNA from 1 species